UCAAGAAAUAUAUUUACUACCUAAAUCGAUGGCAUAAAAAACCUAAACAGAUUACUGGGCCGCCAAUGCUCGUACUUACUGUGAAUUGACUUUUAUUAAGCGAUCGUCGUAUUGACUUUUAUUAAGCGAUUGAAGUAGACUGGGUCCAAAGGAACAAUUAGGAGCCAAAUUUUUAAAUUUUGGAGGGAAAAAUCUUAUGGUAAAUAAUUGACCAAAUGAAAUUAACAUUCAAGAAGAGCGCGAUAACUGGUAACAGCCAAACGGACUAUGUACAAUAUGGGGGCAUUCAUCUAUGGCUUUUUUUUCUAUACAUCUGUCGGCGAAUGAUAGAAUAUUAUUCUGGGAGUUUCAAUUCAGAACCACCAUCUUUUCACGCUCAAGUGAACAAGUUUAAGUCAAAUUAUACUAUGGAAAGUUGAUGGCUACAAGAACUAAUUUAGAAAAGUGUUAAAUAACUUUUUGAGAUGUGACGGAAUUAAUAAAAAUCCAAAAUGCGCUUAUAAGCACUUCAAAA